UACGUAGGGUCGCAAGCGUUGUCCGGAAUUAUUGGGCGUAAAGAGCUCGUAGGCGGUCUGUCGCGUCUGCUGUGAAAACCUGGGGCUUAACCCCGGGCCUGCAGUGGGUACGGGCAGACUAGAGUGCGGUAGGGGAGACUGGAAUUCCUGGUGUAGCGGUGAAAUGCGUAGAUAUCGGGAGGAACACCUGCGGUGUAGAUGGCUUACUGGACCGUGACUGACGCUGAGGCACGAAAGCGUGGGUAGCAAACAGG
rnacentral:rRNA from 1 species